GAGCUCGUAGGCGGUUUGUCGCGUCGUUCGUGAAACUCCACGCUUAACGUGGAGCGUGCGGGCGAUACGGGCAGACUUGAGUUCGGUAGGGGAGACUGGAAUUCCUGGUGUAGCGGUGAAAUGCGCAGAUAUCAGGAGGAACACCGGUGGCGAAGGCGGGUCUCUGGGCCGAUACUGACGCUGAGGAGCGAAAGCGUGGGGAGCGAACAGGAUUAGAUACCCUGGUAGUCCACGCUGUAAACGUUGGGCGCUAGGUGUGGGCGACAUCCACGUUGUCCGUGCCGUAACUAACGCAUUAAGCGCCCCGCCUGGG
rnacentral:rRNA from 1 species